ensembl:lncRNA
AGGUAAUAAAAGGUUUUUGACUAAGGCAUUAUUGUGCCAAAUCCAAAUGGCUGAAUCCUGUUAAUUUUGCAGUCUGGCUGUUCUGCAGUGUGAGGGAGGCAAGGCACAUGCAGGGCUACAGGGCGGCACAACCUGCCCCUCCCAAGCUCUGUACACACCAUGAUGAUAAAGAGAUGAAACCAGCAGCACCUGCAUGAGGGACACCCAACAGACAAAGCGAGCAUCUCCACCAACAAGCCACAAACCUGGUCUGAAACAAGUAAGUGUGGAAGCAGUUUUUAACCGCCAUCACAACACAGAGAUGGAAGCUGUGGUGGACCUUUAAACAUUUUUCCUUAUUAAGCAAGUCUCCUCACACCAGCACAGUCUGUGGUAAUUUCUGCCCUCAUUGUGGACUAUUUCUGUACACUCCCUAAAGGCAUCAAGCCAUUCAGGUAGUAGCAUGUAAUUUGUUUUGUACUGUGGAAUUCCUGCCAUGCCUAUAUGUAUUUAGACCACAGGCAAACCAAUAAAGUUGUCAUAGAAACAAAGCA